rnacentral:tRNA from 1 species
UAGAGAGAUAGGGAUUGAACCUACAAUUGAGAGAUCAAAA